AUACCAUUGUCAAUGUCAACGAAGGCAAUCUCCUGGCCCAACACUUUGAUGUAAGCAGACAGCAGAGGAUCUUCGGGAGGCAAUUCUUUCCACCCCAGAAGCUGCAGUGUUAAGGAGAGAUGAAGGAGAAAGGGAAGAAACAGUUUCUUAACAUACAUCAUUGUAUUAACAAAGAGUAGAUGACAUCUGACGCAUACUGAGGUUCCUUAGCCAGAAAAUGGUAGACAUUUUACAGGCAUGAACUGAUGUGGCCUUUCUCAUGUUGCUUCACUGACUUCAGUGGGUGUUUCCCUACAUAAGAAUGAGGUAAGGCCUUGGUAAUUUUUGCUACUUAAGUACUGGGUGACACCCAAGGGCUCAUAAACAAAAGUCUUAUUCACUAAUCAUUUUGAGAGAGAAGAGCAACCACUUAUAGUGUUUUAACAUACAAUUUAAACCACACAAAUUUUGUCUAACAUUAUUGUCAUCAUCUUUUGUACUGUACAUUAAGGGCAGCUUUGCACAGUGUGCUUCAUACGUUGAGUGAAAAGAUGGCUUCUGUUCUUAGUGUAAGUACAGUCUAAGAACAUCUCUCUGUGACCAAACAGGAUGGCUGACUGAGACAUCAAAGGGGUGGCUAGGUGGGUAGCUGAUGCAACCCUGGUGCUGGUGGGAACUGUCUAUUGCAAACAAAUCAGGAGGGUGGAUAAAGGCAUACCUUUUUACCAAGUUCCUUCAGUGUCUUGUGACUGCUGGCUAUGACUGCAGAUGCUGAGGGCGUGCUGAGCUAGCUCUGAAUUAGUCAGCAGGGAUAAUUUUAGGGCAGCUCAAAGAUCAACGCAAGCUGCAAAAUUUACCCAAGAAGAUUGUAGAGCUGUGGGAUCCUGCCUACUGCCAAAGCCUUCAUGUGCGAAUACAUGAAACUGGUCACUUGUAAGCUGGUCUCCGUCAGCAGCGAGCUGGCCAUGGCUACCACGAUAGGAAGAGAAGGCUUUGUUUCAAAGAGGACAAUGCAAGCCGUCAUGCGUACAUUAGGAGCAAGUGUGCUGUCCAUAAAAAUUUGGAGAGCGAUCCCCCUUACCUAGAGGAGGAAGAUACAGCCUGUGAAUACCUCACAAUUCCUCAGGAAAAAGUGUGUCCUAAACUGUGCGUGUCUGAUCUGCAGUGAAUGGUGAACAAAACCCUAAACAAAACACUGAGCAUGAAGCCCAUCACUGAAAAUGAAGAUAUUGCUACGUGCACAAUAAACAGAGAUGGAAGAACAA